rnacentral:rRNA from 1 species
GAUGAACGCUAGCUACAGGCUUAACACAUGCAAGUCGAGGGGAAACGACAUUGAAGCUUGCUUCGAUGGUCGUCGACCGGCGCACGGGUGAGUAACGCGUAUCCAACCUGCCUCUGACCAAGGGAUAACCCGUCGAAAGUCGGCCUAAUACCUUAUGCAGUCGUCGGAAGUCAUCUGGUGACGACGAAAGAUUUCAUCGGUGAGAGAUGGGGAUGCGUCUGAUUAGCUUGUUGGCGGGGUAACGGCCCACCAAGGCAACGAUCAGUAGGGGUUCUGAGAGGAAGGUCCCCCACAUUGGAACUGAGACACGGACCAAACUCCUACGGGAGGCAGCAGUGAGGAAUAUUGGUCAAUGGGCGAGAGCCUGAACCAGCCAAGUAGCGUGCAGGAGGACGGCCCUAUGGGUUGUAAACUGCUUUUAUGCGGGGAUAAAGUGAGGGACGUGUCCUUCAUUGCAGGUACCGCAUGAAUAAGGACCGGCUAAUUCCGUG